rnacentral:tRNA from 1 species
GCCUGGCUAGCGCAGUGGGUAGAGCAUGAGACUCUUAAUCUCAGCGUCCUAGGUUUAGGCCCCAUGUUGGGCA